GACGAACGCUGGCGGCGUGCCUAAUACAUGCAAGUAGAACGCACAGUUUAUACCGUAGCUUGCUACACCAUAGACUGUGAGUUGCGAACGGGUGAGUAACGCGUAGGUAACCUGCCUGGUAGCGGGGGAUAACUAUUGGAAACGAUAGCUAAUACCGCAUAAUAUUAAUUAUUGCAUGAUAAUUAAUUGAAAGGUGCAAUUGCACCACUACCAGAUGGACCUGCGUUGUAUUAGCUAGUAGGUGAGGUAACGGCUCACCUAGGCGACGAUACAUAGCCGACCUGAGAGGGUGAUCGGCCACACUGGGACCGAGACACGGCCCAGACUCCUACGGGAGGCAGCAGUAGGGAAUCUUCGGCAAUGGACGAAAGUCUGACCGAGCAACGCCGCGUGAGUGAAGAAGGUUUUCGGAUCGUAAAGCUCUGUUGUAAGAGAAGAACGGGUGUGGGAGUGGAAAGUUCACACUGUGACGGUAUCUUACCAGAAAGGGACGGCUAACUACGUG
rnacentral:rRNA from 1 species